AAUCUUUGAAAUUGGUCCAGUAUCAAGCGUGAACACUGUAACCAGCAGCCACACACCGGGCUGUAAUGUAACCCUACAGGACAAAACACUUUGGUCCCCUAA